rfam:Gossypium hirsutum cultivar TM-1 chromosome 8, whole genome shotgun sequence
AAUACUGUAAUGAGGGCGCUUUUGUAAUAACUCCUUGAAUAGCUCCUGUGCCUCAUAUAAAGAUUCUUUAUCAAGUUUCAAGAAUGAAGUGAUUUCAUUUCGGAUCUU